rnacentral:rRNA from 1 species
AUUGAACGCUGGCGGCAGGCCUAACACAUGCAAGUCGAGCGAGCGUCGGACGGGUGAGUAAUGUAUGGGGACUGCCCGAUAGAGGGGGAUAACUACUGGAAACGGUGGCUAAUACCGCAUACUAUCGGAUAACCCAUAUGGGAUUAGCUAGUAGGUGGGGUAAAGGCUCACCUAGGCGACGAUCUCUAGCUGGUCGGAGAGGAUGAUCAGCCACACUGGGACUGAGACACGGCCCAGACUCCCACGGGGGCAGCAGUAGGGAAUAUUGCACAAUGGGCGCGAGCCUGAUGCAGCCAUGCCGCGUGUAUGAAGAAGGCCUUAGGGUUGUAAAGUACUUUCAGCGGGGAGGCGUGACACGAAGAGGAAGCACCGGCUAACUCCGUGACAGCAGCCGCGGUAAUUC